UAAGAGAAUCGUGCAUUGAUACACGCACAGUCAGGGGUGAGGCGCAGAACUCUGCGUGUCCCUAAUCUUGGAGCCAAAGGUUUUGCCAGCCUUGGAGAGCGGGCGGUCAGGUCCUUCCCGCUAACGACACCGGCUCUUGAUAUCUUCUAUGCUUUUGCCCAGCUUUACUCUUUGCAUUUUUUUCUUCCCUACCAAGUGGUAACAUAGUGACUAUUUUUCCUGUCAUAUGUGACUGUUUUUCCUGUCAUUACCAUUCCACAGCACUUUUCAUUCUUAACCGUUCCUCAGGACUAGCAGGUAACGCAGUUUGGGAGAGGUUGAUUUCACAGGAAGGGCUUUAGAGGUUAACUCCCAAGCAGAAAGAACACAAACCUUAUAAACCUCUUACUGGUCAGAAGGACUAUUUCUGUUGAAUCUAAAAUCAUAUUUGGGGAACAUGAAGAAACCUAAAUCUUUGGAGACUGUGCAGGUGAUCUUUUGUUUUGAAUGGAAGUGAUUCUCUCACUGCGGAACCAAACCAUGGAGAAAGCCAGAAGGCAAUCAUUGACAAUUUUUUUUAAAGGCAAAAUCUAAAUCUCUUUUAAUUGUAUUACGUUACUGGGCUAUUCCAUGUAUCACCUUCUUGGGUGGCUUAGCCCAAAAUAUAUUAGGGAUGUGGGCAUAUUACAACGGCCUCGAGGAGAGUUUUAAAUGAAAUAUGGGCCUAGAAUAAUUGCAUAAUAGGGUUUUUUUCACUCUGAACUGAUAAAUGACAUGAUUUUUGGUUUUAUUUUUGUGGUGCUGAGGAUCGAACCCAGGUCUCCAUGCCUACUAGGUCAGAACUCUUUAACGAUGAAUUACACCCCAGCCCAAAGAGAUGGAUAUUUAUGUUUCUGAUGUUUUUUGGAAGGUGCGAUACUGGGAAUCGAACUGAGGGCCUCGCGCUUGCUAGGCAGGCGCUAUGCGGCUGAGCUGCAUACCCAGCCCUGAUCUUUUUAUUACAGUAUUUAUUUCUGAAAGGUGAAAGAGAAACUAAAUUUGCAACAAAAGUGUCCAGAUACGGGACAAGAAGUGCAAAGAGCCAAGGUGACAACACAAGUGUCAUGAAUCCAGAGCUCCUCAAUCAAUUGGAUACAGUAUCUCUUUCCUCACUUCAUCUCUUCUAUCCAGGCUUCCUUUUGUGACCCACUUCUCGUUUGCUGCGCCAUAGCAAAUUAUUCAAGCCCUGCUGGCUUCUAGGAGAAAGAGAAGACAGACAUAUGCAAUCAGUUCUAUGACUCAGCUUUCUGUUACUGUAACAAAUGCCUGAAAUAAUCAACUUGAAAAAAGGAAUGGUUUAAUUUGUACCACAGUUUUAGAGGUUUCAGUCUUUGGUUAGUCCCAUUGCAUUUGGGCCUGUAGAAAGGUAGCACAUCAUGGCAGGGAGAGUGACGGAGGAAAACUAUUUGCCUCAUGGCCAGAAAGUAAAAGAGAAAGAAAGAGACCAGCACUCCAUGAUUCCUUUCAAGAGCACACUUCCAAAUGACAUAAAACCUCCGACUAGGCCCCAGCUCCAAGCAGUUCCCAUCACCUCCCAAUAGAGUCACCCUGAGGACCAAGCCUCGAACACAUAGGCCUUAGGGCUACACUCAAGAUCCAAACUACAGCAGGUUCCCUUUAAAACUUUUAAAUACAGGUAGACUCUCAAUCCUGGCACAGCAGUUUUCCAACUCCAAUCUGGCUCUGUGGUUUGUUCUCCCUCGGCAUGGGGCAGCAGAUCUGCCAACCAACCGACCAACUACAUCAUGAACAAUGCCCAGGAAGAGAAGGUCACCCUGGAGGUAGGCAGAUCUAGGGAAAAAUUAUAGAUCCAGUUAGCAAUGCUAACUCCAAAAAGAGCCCACAGCUAUUGCAAACUACAAAAGCAGUGUGGGGUUUUACAAUAUCUCCCCAACUUAGAAAUGUUCAAGUUGUGAACUUUCACAGAUAAGAAUGGACCUCACGUUAUGAAUAUUUGUAGAUGUGAACAAAUCGUGAAAGUAGCUCACGUCUGCCAGACAUUGUUACAGUCACACUGUUGUGUCCUCACUGUACAAUGUGAUAGUGCACAGUAUUUGUGCAUUGUGUUUGAUUUUUUAUGCUUUACAUUGUAUAUUUGUGUUAAAGGUGUAUUAGACUGACUUUGUUGGACUUAUGAACAAAUCCAACAUAUGAACUUUCUCCCCAAAUGCAACUUGUUCAUGAGUCAGGACUUACUGUGCUCUGAAAGUGACUCCUCAGUAGGCUAAAAUUGGAGAAGAAACCCAGUGCAGCAGCCAGUAGAUUGCCAGAGAGUGUUUGGUCAGGUGCCAUUUUGGCAAGGGAUUAUUUCCAGAUUGAGCCACGGAACAGCUGCAGAACUACUCCACUUCAGAACUUCCAGUGUUAUCCUCCCACAAUGACUGGAUGAGAGACAACCAUGAGAGAUAGUUGUGGAGAUGAUGCAGGCUAAACAUAAACUUUCUGAGAUGUUUAAGCUCAGGCUGAGAAGAACAUGGGCUCCCAGGCACUAUGGUGAGAAACCAGCCUCAACAAACAUGGCUUUCAGAAGCAGCUGGAUCUGACAAUGUGGACGUUAAGUCUGGCAAUCUGCUUGAAUCCCCACCCCACUGCCUACAUCCAGCAGAGACCCAUGAUCUGAUUGCUUUCUUCAUUGACCAGCAUGAACAAGGACACAUCUCUACUUGGAUGGUUGCCACGGUCGGGUGUUCAGGCAGAGAGACCUUUGGAGCAAGGGGACAUCUCACAAACCCACAGACCAUCAAGCAGGGUGGAGGAAGCAGUGACUUCCUGGAUUCCAAGA